GUAAAUACUUAACAGGUAGUCUCAUUUAAUCAGCUCAACAUUCCUACAAGAUAGAUGCUAUUAUUGUUGCCAUUUUGCAGAUGGGAAAAAUGAGGCAAAAGGAGUUUGCCCAAGGUCACCCAGCUGAGGAGUGGUGAUGGGAUAUGAACUGGGGGAGUCUCACAAGUGAGCUACCCUGUCCUGAAAUGGGCGAGUGACUUUGAACAAAGCUAUUUCCUUACAUAUCAAAAGGGAGAUAUAUUUCCUAGAAACUUUUCUUAAAUCUGCCUAAGGACAUAUUGAAUUCACCCGAGAUCUUGGGCAAUCUCUAGGAAGCCCCUGGUCUUAAGGGAUGGUAAAAAGGAUGCUGUCUUAUUUGAAGGCAACCAACAACGUGAACAAUAUUUGUGCUUUUGCAUCCUCACUUAGAACAUCUGAAUUUUAUAGCCAUUCAGUUAGGCAGGGUGGGAAGGCAAGGGAGGCUAUUCAGUGUCUGCUACGUAACCAGAUGCUUUUCAGAAUGGAAACCUGCUGGGUAACACACCAUUUAUUGGCUUGCUUCUCUUACCUGUCUCACUUCCCUACUCCCCUAUCAGUACUUCCUGGGAUGACCUCCCAAAUAAAUGACUUGCACUUAAAUCCUCAGAAUCUGCUUCUGAGGAACUCAAGCUAAGACUCAUGUUGUCUACAACACCCAUCCUUCCUACCUUACCAAGCUAGCAUGUUAUCUACAACAUCUGCCCAUCCAUCUGUCCAUCCAUCCAUCCAACCUUACCAACCUACGAUGUUGUCUACAACAUCCAUCCAUCCAUCCAUCCAUCCAUCUAACCUUACCAAUCUACCAUAUGCCCAGAAACACAUGAGUUAUUUAGGAUAAGAGAUAAAUAAAUCAGUGCCCUUGAACUAAAGUUGCUCGAUGGAAUGGCUUCAUGUUUCCCAUAUCCCAGGCAGAGACACUUGAUACACUGGCUGCCAAAAUAGCAUUGGAAUGACUGGCGAAUUCCUUUUUUCAGAAUCAUGGAGAGGGUUGUUCCGGCAGAGCCAUCCCUGCAGAGGCAAACAGUGCCUGGCGCAUAGUGAAUGCUCACGAUGGGUUUGCUGAAUGAUUGUACAAAUGGGCGGAAUGAACAGAUGGAUUAAUUAUAAAGCAGAUCAAGUUUUCUCUGGGAUCCAUCUUCCUUGCUUUCUGAAUUCUUGCCCCAAAACGUUGUAAACUCACAAUGGAAGAUACAGUCUCUGAAAAUCAAGACACUCACUCAGGUGAGGUGAGUAUGACAUCCCUCCCAGCAAAGAUUUUACACGGAAGGAGGAGGGAGCAGGGAGACAGAAGAACCCAAGGUGACUGACUCCGAAGGCUCUCUGCAUGGGUGUGGAGAGGUUUGGAGGUGACAAUCAAAUCAUACAGCACAAACAAGGUUGAUCCCAGCUGCAGAAUGAACAGGCCGUGUUUUGAGGUCCUGCGUUAUCAGUUCCUAUGUGCAACCCAUGAGCCAUUGCCUUGAUUCCUCGACAGUUGGGGUUCUAAGAAGGACAGCUCUUAAUCCUCUCCAUCGCUGACAAGGUGCCUCAGGAAUGAA
rnacentral:lncRNA from 1 species